rnacentral:rRNA from 1 species
CCUACGGGGGGCAGCAGUGGGGGAUAUUGCACAAUGGGGGGAACCCUGAUGCAGCGACGCCGCGUGAGUGAAGAAGUAUCUCGGUAUGUAAAGCUCUAUCAGCGGGGAAGAAGCAAGACGGUACCUGACUCAGAAGCCCCGGCUAAAUACGUGCCAGCAGCCGAGGUAAGACGUAGGGGGCGAGCGUUAUCCGGAUUUACUGGGUGUACAGUGCGCGGAGACGGCAUGGCAAGUCUGGAGUGAAAGCCCGGGGCCCAACCCCGGGACUGCUCUGGAAACUGGCAUGCUAGAGUGCUGGAGAGGUAAGUGGAAGUCCAAGUGGAGCGGUGAAAUGCGUAGAGAUUAGGAGGAAGACCAGUGGCGAAGGCGGCUUACUGGACAGUGACUGACGUUGAGGCUCGAAAGCGUGGGGAGCAAACAGGAUUAGAUACCCUUGUAGUC